CUGGAGGUGAUAGAAGGAGGGUAGGAUGACGUCACUCGCCUUCCUCCUCCUCCUCGGCGUUCAUUACGAGCCCGUCAAUUUUUGGUGAUGACGUGGGAUUUAGCCGCUUAACAGGGACGCCACGUCUAUCAAACAGAAGUACACCCGACGGCCAGCCAGACCCCGUCUUUCCUUCGGACGCCAAGCUGUGAUUUGUUUGGCAGGGGCCGUGGUGGUGAUGGUGGUGGUGGGCAAGCCGUUGGUGCCAGUCCCAGCAAGAAUGCGGAGUGCCGGAAGACCAAGCUGGCACUCGGCCGAUCACGAGCCAGCCAGGGAAGUGGAUGGAGGCUGACCACCCCACCGCAACCAAUCCCAGCGCUUGCCAUGACCAGGUUGGCGUAGCAGUGCCGGGAGGUGCCAUAACACUCGCCUUCAACAACAGUCUCUUCACCGAUGAGUAAUUCUUCACCAACAAGCUUUUCGGCAGCUUGGAGAAGUAGAAUUGAAUGGCUGAACGGACAUCUCUGGCGUCUUGGUCUGCCUGCGCUGUCUCUGCACACUCUGGAAGAAGAAAGAACACCAAGAUGUCAAGUUCCUGCAAAAUCAGUCUCUUAGUGAAGGAAAUGUGCUCUAUUUAUUUAAUAAAUAAUUGACAAAAAAAUCA